rnacentral:tRNA from 1 species
UGCGUCCAUUUCAAAAUCUAGCGUCCUGUUGAGUGAUGGCAAUCCAGGAGAGCCCCAUCCUCUGGAUGUGCCCAUGCAAAAGUAACCCCAUGACCCGACCACGGCCGCCAUCAACUGCCACAUACAAUCAUUCGGAAGACAGUGCAGGUAAAUCAUCAAACUCUUGUGGCAAUUUAGACAAAAACACCAGUCAGGUCAAGUUGGCAUAGCUCGAUUAGGACCUGCAGCCGGAAAUGGAAAUCGCCUUCGCCUGGAGACUCCAGAUCAGCGCCUUCCAGCCCAAAUGAAGUGGCGUGCCGUCAAAUUUUCCCAGAAAGACAUUGAAGAGAUUUUGCUUCACCUUUAAAUGAAGAUAACAGUUCAGAAUUUGAUCGAUGUUUGUUGGAACUGGCGGAGAGUUCAAUUGACUUAACCAACAAGACCCCAGAUUUCCUGUAAGAUCGAGAAAGAAGUUAACCGAGAAAUAAAAGGCAUCUAGACAAACGGAAAAUGUCAUCAUAAAAUUUUUUCCUUGAUGCAUCAAAUGCCUUUCAACUAACAAAAUGGAUGCAAACAAACCACGAAAAAAGAAGUUGUUUCAACAGGCACACACAUUUAAUUAUUCUUGUUUUGUCUUUUGCAUUAGAGUCAGAGUUCCAAGGCAGUUCUGUUGGCUUAAAAGGUUCAGCUGGAAGCGAACGUAUCUCGUCGGGAGUCAUUGGAACUCAAAAAUAUAAUAAAACCAGGGAGAGAUUGCUAAUGUAUUGAGCAUCACAGCGAGAAAACGAGCGUCUAAAUUCCCCAGCAAUACGUGCGACCUUAUCCAGAAGGCAACAGCAGGAUCGCGCAUUCGUCAAGGAUAAUGCCAACCUCCUGUGCGGAUUUACGUAAAAAUCGGAUCCGGUGUUCGGAGUGGGAUUGGUUACCUUGCCUCGACCAAAGAAGGUUUCAGUCGCCAGUUUUGGUUGCAUCGCAUUGACUGAUGCAUUGCUGAUGCUUCGGGACCAUUAACGUCAGCCUCUGUGGCCUAAUGGAUAAGGCACCGGCCUCCUAAGCCGGGGAUUGCGAGUUCGAGUCUCGCCAGAGGUACGGAUUGUAAUGCUAGCGAGCUGACAACCAAUACAUUUUCCUGAUUGAACAUCUUUUGGAAGCUGGUAAAGUGCUGGCUGGACCAGGUUUUGCACCCAAGCAGAACUUGUUGUGUGUCUUUCUUGAUGAGCUGGAGAGAACUCUGUUUUCCUACUUGAACACCUUUUGGAGGUUCGUAGGUGCUGAGCGGGACGAGCGAAGCUGGAAACGGUUUGCUAACAAAGUCCUUCAGUGUUUUCUUAACGCCUGGAAGUGGUUUCACCUCGGCCGUCCGGUUUACUCGUGUGGUUGUAUGGAACGGGACGGAAGCCGAUGCUGCGGAAGACGGUACCACAUUUCUGCAGACGGGGACGGACUUCUUCACAGGAAUUUUAGGCUCCAGUUCCAAAAUCGGCCAUGUCAGAUACUCAGAAACAGCGGAGGAAUCGUGGCGAAUACGUUGAUCGGACAAAUGAACAACCAAAUCUGCCUCAACCAAAAUCUGGUGCUCGUUGAAAGACUGGCAGACACGUUUGGGACGGCGACUUUAGCGAUAAUCAUCGAAGAUGUUCUGGAAAGUGACGUCGCCCUCUCGACAAAUAAAAAGGAACAAUCGUUGGUGCAGAAGCCAGAAGCAAGUCAAUCAAUUAGCGACCGUGUGCAACUUCAUACCAACAUAUUUGGAUGGCGUUGUGGACGGAUGCCAUGUAUUGCAAAAUUGCAACUGACAGAAAACAGUGGCAUUUGUGACGUGAUAUACAUAUACCAAUGUGAUAGUGACUGCCAGGUGACUUCUGGCAGGAAUGGCACGGAAUGAUCGUCCAUCAUCACCAAUUAGGGGACGUGGUAAAGUAUAUCGUAGUUAGCACUGCGUUAGUUUCGGAGAUUCAUGUUAAAGCAAUUACAUUUUGUACCAGGAAACAUAGACUGCAAGUACUUAAAUUCUUUAUUGUUCGUUCUCAAAAUACGCGAAUGUGCUGUCUGUUUUUUUCUAAAUUUGUUAACUUUUAAAUUUGGCAGCAUCUUGAUUCGUUCGAUCUCGAGUCAUAAACGUAACUAUUGGCAGCUCUGCAUCCUUGCAAUGAGUAGCCAAAAUUGCAGUUAUGCUAAAUUUUAGAUAGGCCUUAGAGUAAUACGAGUCUUUGGGUAGAUGUGAUUCCAUCAAAUUGUGCAAAAAUAAAAUGUGGAAUGUUUGUGAAAAGCCAAUGGGAUAUCAUUCGUGAUCAGCUGAUUUCCGUGUGUGCAUAUUAAACAGUAAGUCUCAUUUCUGAAAAAAUUUGAUGUUUCAAUGUCUAUCAGUAGCCGUUUGUGAAAACCUUGAAUCGACGAACAAUUUCGAACUUUGAAAUUUUUACAACUACACGCUUGCCUUUAUUGUAAGUAAACAAUAUUUUGGUUAUUAGAGAAAUAUUGGCUUUAGCGUUUGCUUUUCACUAGCUGUGGUGGCCCUGGAAAGGGGCCAUUUUGUCUAGUGCAUUGCAAUUUUGGCUUUAGCGUUUGCUUUUCACCAGCUAUGGUGGCCCUGGAAAGGGCCAUUUUGUCUAGUGCAUUGCAAUUUUGGCCUAGGCAAUGGCGCCUAGUUGCUCUUUCACGCCAUUGUUCAGAGUAAAAGGAGGGAAAAACGAUAAGAAUAACGGUUACAGGGCUCACUUUUUGAAGGAAUUAUUUCGUCGUUAUAAAGUUGCAAAUCAUUGUAUUGUGUGAAGCAUUGUCAAUAAAAAUUGUUUUUAAC